AUCUGGGCGAAAGAGAGCGGGAGGGUUCCACUUCAGAGAGAGAAAGAGCGAGAGAGAGAGCACGGCGGCGGCGGAAAUGGCGGUGGCGGCGGAGAACGAGAGGACCAUCGCCGGCCUCCAGGGAGCCCUCCGCCUCCUCGCGGAGCAGCCGACUCCGGUGGGCGUCAGCGUCAAGCUCGAGUCCGUCCUGGCCACCAACUUGCAGUAGUAGUUCAAACUGCACCUGAUCCGGGUCCUGCACUAUUGCUAUCGCUAGAACACGAAGAGGAGGUGAUGUCCACACAUCGGAAUGAUCUAAUUGGAAAGGGAAAAAUGUUUGAGAAACUGAAGGAGCAAAUGGCAGGCGAGGAUGUUUUCGACAUGAAGAACAUGAAUGCUUUUCAGAUUUAUUACAGCUAAAACCAAAAGUGUGCAGAACUUGAGAAGUGACUGGGUGGCCGGGGUGUCCCAGUCGCUGAUGCCACAGGGACGUUGCCGAGGACGCAUGAAGAGCUUCAGGAUGUGGAAGACGGAGAGGGUAAAGAUCGCCGUUGCUUUCACAUCAGAGCAUCUCCGCCAUGGUAGGAAGAGCCUUGAUGGAAAAACCAGAAGGGUCAAACUCGAUUAAAACAUUAUUAUCACGAGUUAAACGACGAACAGAAAUCAAGUUCUUAAUGAGAGAGGGUGAAACAAGAACGUCAUUUAGAUGAA